rnacentral:rRNA from 1 species
UGCAGUCGAGCGCACCCUUCGGGGCGAGCGGCGGACGGGUUAGUAACGCGUGGGAAUGUACCCUUCUCUAUGGAAUAGCCUCGGGAAACUGAGAGUAAUACCAUAUACGCCCUUCGGGGGAAAGAUUUAUCGGAGAAGGAUCAGCCCGCGUAAGAUUAGAUAGUUGGUGGGGUAAUGGCCUACCAAGUCUACGAUCUUUAGCUGGUUUUAGAGGAUGAUCAGCAACACUGGGACUGAGACACGGCCCAGACUCCUACGGGAGGCAGCAGUGGGGAAUCUUAGACAAUGGGCGCAAGCCUGAUCUAGCCAUGCCGCGUGUGUGAUGAAGGCCCUAGGGUCGUAAAGCACUUUCGCCAGGGAUGAUAAUGACAGUACCUGGUAAAGAAACCCCGGCUAACUCCGUGCCAGCAGCCGCGGUAAUACGGAGGGGGUUAGCGUUGUUCGGAAUUACUGGGCGUAAAGCGCACGUAGGCGGAUCAGAAAGUUGGGGGUGAAAUCCCAGGGCUCAACCCUGGAACUGCCUCCAAAACUCCUGGUCUUGAGUUCGAGAGAGGUGAGUGGAAUUCCGAGUGUAGAGGUGAAAUUCGUAGAUAUUCGGAGGAACACCAGUGGCGAAGGCGGCUCACUG